rnacentral:misc_RNA from 1 species
GUUCUUGAUAUCAUUAUCAGUUCUUCCAGGCAACUGAGCAGCAAUAAUGGACCACCUGCUUCCAAUACUUAUAUAGAGACUGCAAAUGAUGUUAUCUUCCUCCUCUGAGAAGCCACCAUGUUUGAUGUUAGGCCGGAGAUAAUUCAGCCAUCGAAGUCGACAACUCUUGCCACAUCUCUUAAGGCCUAUCUUCUGAGGCAAGGCUAUCCAGUUGCCGCCGGUGCCAUUCUGCUCAAUAUAAGCCUUAAGCUUGGUAUCUUCCUCAGGCGACCAUGGACCCUUCUUCACGUUGGCUUUGUCACAGCAAGGAGCUCUACCCAUGUCCUUGUCUCUGUGUUGUGUGAU